GAUGAAGAACGUAGUGAAAUGCGAUACGUAAUGUGAAUUGCAGAAUUCAGUGAAUCAUCGAAUCUUUGAACGCAUAUUGCGCUCUUUGGUAUUCCGAAGAGCAUGCUUGUUUGAGUAUCAGUAAACACCUCAAAGUCUUUUUUUUUUCUUGAAGAAAAGCCCUUGGACUUGAGCAAUCCCAACUCUUCUUUCAGAAGAGGCGGGUUGCUUGAAAUGCAGGUGCAGCUGGACAUUCUCCUGUGCUAAAAGCAUAUUCAUUUAGUCCCGUCAAACGGAUUAUUACUUUUGCUGCAGCUAACAUAAAGGGAGUUUGACCAUUUUGGCUGACUGAUGCAGGAAUUUCACAAGAGUCUUCAAAACGCUCUUGUUAAACUCGAUCUCAAAUCAAGUAAGACUACCCGCUGAACUUAAGCAUAUCAAUAAGCGGAGGA
rnacentral:misc_RNA from 1 species